rnacentral:lncRNA from 1 species
AUAGUUUCAUCCUUGUAAUUUUCAGGCUCUUGUUCUUGCAAAGACAACAUGACUUCAAUCAUGUUCUUUUUUUCGUCUGUGGAUAAACUACUUUUUUCCUAAUUUUCAUAUUAUGUCGACAUUCAUCAAUCAAUUCUUGUGUAAACGCUUCUCUUCUUUUGAACAAAUUGAUCAUCCUUUUCUCAGUUUUCUCGAACCACUUCACCAUCGGUAGAAAAUCACCCAUGUUCGUUGCACCAGCCAAAAGAAAGGAUUCCCUCAUUAUUUCACGAAACCGAGUGCCUUCCUCGACGACAGCCACAUCGUCGCCAUAAUAUCUUUUCCCGGCUAUCAUCCGCAUCAUCAAAUUCAGCAUCAGCUCGAAAAGUCUGGAUUUCAAGUCCACCAUUCUAUCAUGAUCCUUGAACAGCUUCCGUAAGAGCAAACGGACUUCAUCGAGGCGUGUGGCGUAAAGCAAUUGGAGACAGUGCCCCGAAAGAAGUUGAAUCGACGAUAUACGCCUCAAGUUCUGCCAGUUAUCGCCGUAGGAAUCCCAGAUAAGGCUAGUGUAAUUAUAACCUAGAUGCUUUUCGUAUAAAAGUAAAGGGCGGUUGGCAAAGAUGAUGUCGUUUUUGGUAAAACAUUCCUCGGCAGACGAUGCUGAUGAGAUAACCACAACGGGGCGUGACCCAAAAUGGAGGAGAAGGACACGGCCAUGCUUGGCAGAGGUCUUGGCGAGGGAACGAUGGAGAGGCUUCUUGAGAAGUAAAUAGAAGUGGCCAAUUAAUGGUAAAGAGGGAAAAGGGGUGGGAGGAUGGUUUUGGAACUUAUGGUAUAAGUGGACAGUGAUGGAAUAAAGAGCUACAAAGAGGAGGAUUUGCAUAAACAUGGCUUGGCUGGCGACCAAUUUCAAUUCUCAGGAUUGUCCUAACUAUAAUUUAAAUAUAUUUAUUUAUAAAUUGGAGGAUUGUUCUUCUGCGUCAAUUUAAUUAGACAGUUGGAUUUGCACGCUUCCUUCCCCUCCUUGACUGCUCAAUAGUGGAAAAUUCAACCACACAACAAUAAAUGAGAUAAGAUUUGGUAGCUUUCCAUAUUUUCUCUCUCAAUGAAACUUCAACGCAAUUGCUCAAUUUUCAACAAAUGAUAACUAUUACAAAUUUAUCAUAAAAUUCAUAUACUAAAUUUCUAUUAAAUAAAGAAAAGCAUAGUUAUAAAAAACAUAAAACAUAUAUAUGCAUUAUUGUUUUUUUUUUUUACAUUCUUUUUUAUGAUUAACUUUGAAGAUUAUAAAUUUAACAAAUUUAAUUAAUUAAUAUGAGUUAUCAAAUUAAAUUGAUCAAUUUAACAAGUUUAUUUGAUUAAUUAUGAAGUUUAUGAUGUUCUGAAUUCAUAUUAAAAUAUGUAUUGAAUUGAUAUCUUUUAUUUCAAUCAUUGGAAUGUUAUUUUAAUUAAAUAAAAUAUGAUUAAAAUAUCUUUUGAUGUUAAUUUUAAAUAUUUUAUUGAAAUAAUAUUUUAAUUAAGAUCAUUUUAUUUAAUAAGUUAUAAUUAAUAGGUUUUCUUAUAUAAAAUAGUUAUAAUUUUACUUAAAAUUUUAGAUAAUAUGUUCUUAUAGAAAUUUGUCGAUUGAAUCCUAGCUCAGUUGGCAUUGACAUUGUUGUCUAUAGGAAGACGUGAGUUUGAGUAUAUUAAAACCUAGUUUCCUAUUUCUUUUAGGUUCUUAACGUUCUUACCCUUUUUUUUUGGCAAUUUUCGAAAAGGAUCUAUUAUGCUUUAAUUUCUAUUAUAAUUUGGUCCUUGUAUUUUUAUAAUAUUAUUAAAUAGUUAAAAUAAUUAAUAUAAUUAAUUUUUAGAUUAAAUUAAAUAUAAAUUUUUUUAAAUAAAAUAAAAUUAUAUUUUAAUCUUUAAAUUUUAACUUCGUAAUCUAACAAAAAUAAAUUCUAAUGUGGUGAUGGAAGAGGCCUGAAAGUAAAGUCAGGAAUACUGUAGCUGUACUAGGAACGCUUUAGUCUACGAUUGACUUUAUCAUAAUUAGUUCCUACACUUGCAUAUAAUCUAGAAUUGAUUUUCAAAAAUAUUUUUAAGAUCAAAAGUAUUUUUCGAGUCAUAAAUAAUAUUAAAUAGAUAAUUUUUGAAGUUAGAAACACUUUCAAACUUAAAAACAAAAGUAAUUUUUUUUCUAUUGUUGACAAAAAUAUUUUUAGGAAUAAAGAAUAAUUUUAACUCUUAUAAAGUAUUUUAUAUAAUAUUUAAAUUGACUAUGUAAUUAUUUUCAUAUUAAAAUUUAUUUUAAAUAUAUAAUAUUAUAUAUUUAAAUUAAAUUUUAUAAAUAAUUAGUAAAUUACUUAAAAAUAUUUAAAAUUUAUAUUUCAUAUAUUAAAAUAUUAACAAAAAAUUAAAAUUUUUAUUUUUUACUAAAAUAUUAUAAUAUUAAUUAAUUUAAACAUUAUUUAGAUGCAUAUAUAUUAUUUUAUAAUAUCAGGUCUAAAAUAAAUAUUUUAUUUCUCAAACUUAUUUUUUAACAGUAAUACUAAACACUUAAAUCUUAAAUUAAAAUUUUCAAAUUUAUUUUUACAGAAAAGAAACCGAUGAAAAGGCAUAAUAUUAUUUUAUUGUAAAUUCUUUUUAAUUGAUUUGAACCAAUUAAGUCAUUAGAAUUUUAUGUUGUAAACUAGAUUUGUCCCCGUUGGUACUGUCCCAUCACAAUGAAAUUUUGCUACUCAUAAUUUUGACUUUUUUAUAAAAGUAACUCUAAAAAAUAAAUUAAUUAUCAAAAUAAUCCACCCUUUUAAUUAUGUACAAAAAUAACUUAUUUUCUACAGUAAAAAGUGGUGGAGCCAUAUGAUAUGGCGCCACCACUUUGCCACGUUAACCAGGGGUAUUAAAAAAUUUUUUUUGGUGGAGCCAUGUUGAAUGGCGCCACCAGUAUAAAAUAUUAGAAAAAUACUAAAAAAUCUAGAAAAAUGGGGGACUUAAAAAAAUUUUCAUUUUUGGGUGGAGCCAUUUUAAAUGGUGCCACUACUUUUCAGAUUUGUUAAGUUCUUUUUUUUUUUUACUUUUUUUACUUUUUUUCUUAUAUUUUGUCUCUUUCUUAGAUUUUUUUCUUUUUUAAGUUUUAUAUUAUUUUCUUAAUUUAUUUUGCUUAUUUAAUUUAUAUUAUUAAUUUUAAAAAAUUUGUAAUAUAUAUUUAAAAUGUUUUAUAAUACUUUUUUUAAAAUUUUAAUUAUUAUUUUUAAAAAUAUUUUUUAACUUCAUAUAUAUAUUUGUGAAAUUAAUUUUUUAUAAAUUUUAAAAAUGUAUUUUUCAAAUUAGUUUUGAAAUUAUUAGUUUUAUAAUAUUUGAAAUGUAUGUUUAAUAUUUUAUUAAUUUUACAUACAAUUUUAAAUAUUAUUUUUAAAUUCUUUUUUUAUCAUUAGGUAUAUAUAUUUAAAGUUUAAAGUUUAAAUUAAAAUAUAUAUAUUUAUUAUAACUAGUCACAUCAUGUCAGUGAUGUGACUAUUAAUAAAUUCAAAUAUAAAUAUAAAUUUUAAAAAAUAUAUAUUAAAUAUUAUUUUAUAAAUAUUAAAUAUAUAUUUUUCUUUUUUUUACUCUUUUAUUGUUUUGUUUUUCUUUUAUUUAUUAUUAUUAACUUUAAAAAAUUUGAAAUACUUUAUUAAUAUAUAUAUUUGUAAAUUUUAGAUAUGUAUUUUGAGAUUAUUUUUUAAAAUUUUAUAUAUAAUUUUUAAAUACAUUUAAAAAAAUUAUAAUUUUUUAAUAAUAUAAGAAAUCAUAAUCUUUUAAAUAUUUUUUAAAAUUUUUCUUUUCCUUUUUUUACUUUUUUGAAAUUUUAUGUUUUUUUUCUUCUUUUAUUUUGUUUAUUUAUUUUAUUAUCAAUUUUAAAAAUUUUGUAAUGUAUAUUUAAAAUGUCUUAUAAUAUAUUUUUUACAAUUUUAAAUAUUAUUUUUAAAUUCUUUUUUAUAUUUAAAUUUUAAAGUUUAAAUUAAAAUAUAUAUAUUUAUUAUAACUUGUCACAUCAUGUCAAUGAUGUGACUAUUAAUAAAUUUAAAUAUAAAUUUAAAUUUAAAUAUAUAUAUUAAAUAUAUAUUUUUUAUUAUUUUGACUCUUUUUAUUGUUUUGUUUUAAAAAAAAAGAUUUUGUUAUAUAUAUGGGUGGCUUGGUCCCCCUUUAUAGAUGAAAAAGUUAAGUGAGGAAAAAAAAAAGGUACAUUUGUUAAAAUUUUAUUUUUUUAUUUUUAUAUUUUAUAGUUAAUGUAAUAUAAUAAAUAAUUGUAUUGUAUGUUUGUUUUUUUAUAUUAUACAGAUUUGAAGAUGUCUUCUAGAGCAAAUACGGAUCACACUUCAUCGAUGAUCGACGAAACAGUAAAAUUUAUUAUAAAUUAAAAAAAAUUCAGUUCAGUUUCCCAAUUUUUUUUGUUAAUCGCUACUCUGUUGAACAUGUUUUGACUGCUUUAAAAUACUUAUCUCUAAUUAGUUGUUAUUUAGCUUCUGUUGAACAUUUUAGAUUAUUAAUUUGAUUAUACUUUGUAAUACUUUAUUUUUGUUAUAAUUGACUUAGAUAUACAUUAUUUGUAAUUGUAUUUGUAUACUUUAAAAAAAAGUUAGUAGCACUCACCUCCAAACAUCUAAUUUAAUCACACAAAUUAUAAUAGAAUAGAUAUAUUAUAAAAAUAAAUUAGGAUAUUUUCAUUUUUUUAAAUAACUACCCCUUAAAAUCGACUUACUUAAAACUUUACUCUAUUUUUACUAAUUUUAUACUUAAUUUAUUAGACGGUGUGUAGGGAUUAAUACGCAAAACUAUUACUUGACGAGCUCGAUUUAUGAAAAAAAUUCUUUUAAUUUUAAUAUAUAUAUUAUUAAAACAAUAAUAAUAAAAGUGAAUAUAUUUGAUUAUUUACUAGUCAAUUUAUAAAUAACUAGAAAACAUAAGUAUUUGUUUAAAAAAUACUUUAUGUUUUUAAAUUUUAUAAUAUAAAAAAAUAUUAGUAUUCCUUGAAAAAUAAUUUUUCGCUAUUACUCACUUUAAAUUUUGAAUAAGAUAUCAUAAAAUUUUAAAAUUAGAAAUAUAUACGUAUUGUAGCCAUUGGUGUCAAAUUGAACUUGCUUGAACCAAUCAUCUUCUCUUGAGUUGCUUUUUGGUUUGGACUUAUUUUUUACACUGGUGGAGUUUGAGUUGCUGCUCAAUGAAUUUCUCUUUUCUUGUAAUUUUACUAGUUCCCAGUUCAUAUUCCUGUAAUUUCUCCCAUUCUUUUAUUAUUAAUAUAUUUAUUUUAAUUAAUUUAAUGCUUAACUAUGGUUAGGAUAUAAUAAUCACAUUUAAUUUCUACGUGUUAAUAUUAAUAUUUUAUGACAAAUUUUCAUUCUAUUAUUAAUAUAUUAUUACUUAUUUAAUUUAACUUAAAUAAAAAAAAUACUUAGAAUGGUUACGUUGGUAUAAUAUAAGUGUGAUGUUUUUGUUUUCUCAACCUUUCAAUUUUACUCUUCAAUAUAUUUUUUUAUGUUUAAAUUAUAUAGAUAAUUGAUUUAUCAUAUUUUUAUAAAAAAUUUACCAUACAGGAUGGUUAUCGGGUUUUGAGGUUACGGUGUCAUUUUCCCAAGUACGAUCCGGACGAGCGGAUCAUGCCAUACUUACGGUUGGCCGGAUUUGGGGACGUCACAUUGAUCCGGAGGUUUGACUUGAGGCCAAACUUACUAUUCGCCUUGGUUGAGCGGUGGUGUACGGAGACCCACACCUUCAUUAUGCCGUGCGGGGAGUGCACUAUCACAUUAGAAGACGUCGCUAUGCAACUUGGGUUACUAGUUGACGGUGCUGUGGUCACGGGUCGAAGCAAAGUGUUGGAACCUUCUGUAGUAUGCCACAGAUUGCUUGGACGGUCCCCUCGUGAUGGGGAACAGAAUUUCACAUGCUUGACAUUAGCAUGGUUGAGAGCAAAUUUUAAGAAGUUAUCGAGCACUGCCACUAAGUAGAAGGUAAUGUAUGCUGCUUGAGCCUAUAUUAUGCAGCUGAUUGGGGGGUACUUCUGCCGAACAACACGUCUAAUAGAGUCCACUUAAAGUACUUGCCUCUAUUGGAGGAUUUUUUUCAUACCGGUAGUUACAGCUGGGGAUCUGCAGUGUUGGCUGCAUUAUACUAUGAGCUCUGUCGUGCAACAAAACAUGGGGUUAGUAAUAUGGCUGGUUGUCUGGGUCUACUGAAGUCUUGGGCUCUAUACAGGAUGCCGUUUCUAGCGGCUGUUAGGCACCAACCAUAUUCGUGGCACUUAUAAAUAGGUAAAAACAAAAUUAUACUUAACAUUUAACGACUCAUAAGUGUGGGUAAUAUUUUUCAAAGUUUAACUGCCAACGUGUUUGUUUCGAUUUCAGAUGGGCGACGUCUCCGGGAAUUGGUGCGAGCCAGACAUUAAUCAUUUACCGUCAAAUGAUAGAGGCGUACGCCGGAGAGAAAGUAAUAUAUAUAUUAAUAUAGUUUAAGUAACGUUUAUUUAACUUAUCCACUUACAGUAUGUGAUGUGAAUUGACUCAUUAUGUUAUAUUGUGCAGUUAUUAUGGAUGUCGUAUUCUGCAGUAAACAUUGCAACCCUUAUUCCUCAGAGGGUUCACGCUGAAGCUCGUAUGUGGUGCAUUAACACGCCGGUGCUCAACUUCUCAAUCGUUGAGUGGUACAACGGUGAUCGAGUUAUGCGACAAUUUGGGUGUAAACAAUUUGUGCCAGUCGAGCCACAACAGUUUGCUAAUGUCCACGGUAAGACCAUGCAGGGGAGACAUACAUUAGAUUGGAGCGUGGAACAUCAAUGUUAAGUAGCACUAUGGAAUACCCAGUACAACAGGCGGCCUGAGAUGCACUCCUGCAUGUUUGACUUCAGUCCCUCGACUGAAUAUAUGUGGUACAUGAAUCGAUGGCGAGUUUAUUUAUAUGAUCGACAACUUAUGAUAGUACCAGGUCACGACUACAGACGUGGAAAUCAACCUACGGUGGAGGUAGAGGAUCAACAUAUGGCAGAGCCCGACUCGGAGGACCAAGUUUUAAACACAUCGAAGCAAUGGGUUGACACUUUUUGUGAUUUGUCCCAGAAUAGUUCAUAUAACCCGGACAUAGGUGGUUCGAGUUCAUAUCACCCGGAUAUAUGCGGUUCGAGUCCAUUUAACCUAGAGCAACCACCGACAUCAGUUGAUAUGUUUGGUAAUAACAUGUACUCCACCCCGCCUCAGGCCACGAUCGACCCAGUUGCCAAUCCUUCAGAUGUGUACAAUACACCUCAACGUCCACCCCGUCAACGAAGGCCCGUAAAUCGUUAUACCCCGAACGAUGAUACCACUCCUGGGUCUUUCCAAUUUUAAGUUAUGUAAAUUUCAAGUAUUAUGUGAUAUUUGUUGUAUUGGUUUAAGGUUUCACAACUUAUAUAUUAGUGUUUUUUAUUUAAUUUAUUAUAAAAUCUUUUAAAGUAUUAAAAGUUGCAACUAUUAAUUAUAAAUAUAAUUUUAACACUAAAUAAUACAAACUUUAUUUCUAAAAGAUCAUAAUAUAGACAGACCUCAGUUACAACAUUUAAUUUCUUUCAGACCGUGAAGAUUGGCCAGUGUAGACGCUUCUAUGGGGACAUUUGCUCCGAUUGUGGCCAAUUGUUCUACAUAUGGUGCAACGCUUUGGAUCGACUUGUUCUCUUACAUCCAUGUCGUUUCGAAUCCUCGUUAUUGUUAGUUUACCUUUGACUCUACUACGUAGUGACCGAUCAGGCAACAUCUCGAAUGCAGGCGAUUACGCUUCCCAUGUCGAUAUAUCCCUUAAUACAGGGAAAUCGUUACCCCAAAUACGCAACGUACGUUCAAGUGUGUAUACAUCAUCGAUAUAUUGUUUAACAUUCAAACUAUAGGUAGCACAAGCUGCAACCACAUGCGCACACGGGUACCGUAGUGCUUGGAACAUCCCGCACUCACACCGCCUGUUUCAGAGAUCAACUCCAUAGGAUCGUGGCCGGAUCCCUGACCGACGACUGAUAUACUUUGUCACUCGAAAAGUUUCCAAAUUUCGAGAAUAUAGUUCUACAUUCAUCAACCUAGCCCUUUGAGUGUUAUCUUUCAUGGCAUCUCUGAUUUUUUCGACGUACACGUGUCCGACCUCUAACUGUUUUGCUUGUUUCAACCCCAUUUUUGGUAUUAAGAUUGCUAACCUGUAAAAUGUAGCUGAAAAAACAGCUGAAAUUGGCAAGUGACGCGUAUGCCUUAAGACGGAGUUAACGGCCUCAACAAGGUUAGUUGUCAUAUGGCCAUAACGGUACCCCUCGUCAAAACAUUGAGCCCAUUGCCACGGCUCCAUGCUACUCAACCACUGUGUAAGAGAAGGUUUGCAGCCCGCCAUAUCAGUCUCUAAGCUCGCCAACUUAUGUCUAAAUCGGUGUGGUUCCAGCUCGUACCCUAUGUAUAUAUUCCGAUAAAAUGCUUUAAAAUUAGGAAAUAGACUAGAAAUAAUUACAAAUACGAAUUUAAAUACGAUAUUUUUACCCAUGUUGACAAUUCGUUUACGCCAGUAUUUGUUCUUAUACUCAUUGUGGAAGGUCACAGUGAAGUGACGAAUACAAUAGACAGACCUCCACGGAACCUUCGAUUGCCGAAUUGCAGCAACAAGACCCUUUGAUUUGUCAGAUAUAAUGCAAAUUUGUCAGAUAUAAUGCAAAUGUUAUCUUGCCUGACAACAUGCUUCCGUAAGUUUCGAAUGAAAUAUGCCCAUGAUUUAGAGUUCUCCGACUCUACGAUGGCAAAAGCGAUUGGUAGUACAUUUCCAUUACCGUCUUGUGCAACCGCAAUCAGAAGUAUCUGCGUGUAUUUUCCAUAAAGCCAUGUUCCAUCAACUUGCACUACCAGUUUGCAGUGGGAGAAGGCCCUAACACAUAGAUCGAAAGUCUAGAACAAUCGACGAAACACUCUUUUUCCCAGUUCUAAUUCUCCAUUAGGGCCUCUAUAAGGCAACGUUUGCAAGUCCACGACAGUUCCUGGGACAUACUCUACCAUUGCUGAAAUCCAACUCUGAAGUUCAUUGUAUGACUUAUCCCAGUCGCCGUACAAUUGUUGCAUGGCCAUUUGUUUCGCCCACCACGCUUUCCUGUAUGACACUCUGCACUGAAAUUGAGCUUGCAUGUCUGCAAUCAAUGUCGACACAAGAAUGAUUGGGCUAUCUUUCACUAGUGGCAUGAUGCAGUUACAAAUACUUUUGGCAUCCAAUUUUCGGUGGUCUUGAGACAUGCGUGCGACAGUACAUGUAUGACGCCCUUCUAAUUUUCGUAUUUGCCAUUGUUGAAUCCUCUGUAUAAAUGCAGCACGAACUGACAACCACACCCAUCGUCGGCUCUCCAACAUUCCCCAACGUAUAAUGUCGGUGUAGAUUUGGCAACCUUGUAAUCAAUCGACAACUUCAUGCUGUAUUGUUUGAUGGAAAACACACAAUCCGUCUUGUUCUUGAACUGUUGCCUAAUGAACAACUCGUCAAACUGUGAACUUGAUGCCAAUUUAUGAGCAGGUACUAUAUCAGCGUACUCAGGGAACUCGGAUGCAUGUGCUACAUCUGGAUCUACGUUCAACAUGUUGCCCCCAGGUUCAUUUCGUAAAAUAAUACUAUGACUCGGGUUACAGAAUGAAAGGCCGUGAACAUCUUCAACCUCCUUCGGGCCUUCAUCAUCGAUAUCGUUCGGAAUCUCAUCAACAUCGGGGUCACUAAAAUCUUCAACGUCUUAAUCAGAAUCUUCACCAUUAUUGGUCAUUUCUCUGACAUUUGUCUCAGUACUUAUUAUCACCUCCGGAUGUAUUUGUAAACAGGGACCGAGGGUUGGGUUAUUGUAUGAACUCCCACUAUAAUUAGGAAUUUUGGGUAUCUGCGACGUUCCACCGCAUUCUAAUUGGCCUGUCCAUCUAACAUUAAGAUCAAGAUCAAAUUCGCAAUGUUGACUUAUUGGGCUAACAUUCUCAACAGGCUCUAAAUCUGCUAACUUAGCAAAUAAUUCAACUGGUUGGGGGUUCACACUCCCAGUGGACCACCAUAUUUUCAUCAUAGUGCCCAAGUCAUCAUCAUCUAACAUUUGCAUCGCACAAAAUUUGAACGGAUCUGUAGAGAUUGGAAAAUUGUAAAAUAAUUUGGACAUCGCCCUUCCACAACGGAUAGUUAUUUUCGCACUGAUCUUCCUUUUCAUUUCUGCUAGCUUCACAUUUUUUUUAAUCGCAAACCUACUCUUUGCCGGCCUUGAAAUACACAACCAAUAUCACCUUCUACAAUUUCACCAUAAAAAAUAACAUACACCAAAAACACCUCAUUAUUCAUUUUUAACAAAUUUUUUAAACUUUUCCACUUAACACAACAACUACACCAUUCUAUACAUAGAAGAGAACCAAGAGGUGGAGCCAUAAGAAUGGCUCCACCAAAAUAUUGUGAUUUUUUAGAGUAUAGGGGGCCCCGUAGCAAUUUUACCAUUUCCUGGUGAAGCCAAAUAAUUUGGCGCCACUAGUUUUCAAGUCUGACAGCUAACUUAUUUGUUUCAGCCUUUUUUUUAAAAAAGUUUUGACUUUCUUUUUUUCUUUUUUAAGUCCUUAUUUAUUUUAUUUAUUUCGAAAAACUUGAAAUUUAUUUUUUAAAAAUGUUUUAUAAUAUAUUUUUUAUAAAUAUUAAAAAUAUAUUUAAUAUUAUAAAACAUUGAAAAGGAGGGAAAAAGAGGGGGAAGAGGGGAAAGGAGGGGAAAGAGGGGGAAAAGGGACAGAGAAGGGGAAAGGGAGGGGGAGGAGGGGGAAAAAGAGGGAACAGGGGGGAGGGGGGAGACAAAGGGGAGGGAAAAAGGAAAGGGGAAGGGGGAGAGGAGGAAAAAAGAAAAACAAAAAAAAAGGGAAAGAGCAGAGCGGGAAAGGAGGGAAGAGGGGAGAGGAGGAAAAAGAGGGGGAAGAGGGAAAAUAAGAGGAGAAGGGGCAAAAAGGAAGGGAGAAAGAGACAGGGAAAAAAAAAAGGGAAAACGGAGAGGGAAAAGGGGAACAAAGAGAGGAUAGAACAGGCAAAUACAGGACAAACAAAAAAAGAAUAAAAGAAAUAAAAAAGGAAAUAACGAAAAGAAAAUAACAAAAAAAAGAAAAAGCUUAAUAAAAAUCUAUGUAAAUUAAAAUAUAUUAAACAUACAUUCAAAUAUUAUAAAACUAAUAAACAAAAUACAAUAAGAAAAUAAUAUAAAACUUAAAAAAAGAAAAAAAUUAAAGAAAAAGACAAAAUCUAUGAAAAACUAAUCUAAAAUUUAAUUUGAAAUGUAUAAUAAAAAUAAAUAAAUAGAUAAACAAAAUAAAAUAAGAAAAAAAUUAGACUUCAAAAAACUAAAAAAAAAAAAGAAAAAAUAAUUAUUUUUUUAAAAUUUUAAAAAAUUAAUUUGAAAAAUAUAUUUUUAAAAUUUAUAAAUAAUUAAUUUCACAAAUAUAUAUAUAAAGUUAAAAAAUAUUUUUAAAAAUAAUAAUUAAAAUUUAAAAAAAAUAUUAUAAAACAUUUUAAAUAUAUAUUACAAAUUUUUUAAAAUUAAUAAUAUAAAUUAAAUAAGUAAAAUAAAUUAAGAAAAUAAUAUAAAACUUAAAAAAAAAUCUAAGAAAGAGACAAAAUAUAAGAAAAAAAAGUAAAAAAGUUAAAAAGUUAAAAAAGUAAAAAAAGUAAAAAAAAAAUAUAAGAACCUGACAAAUCAGAAAAGUGGUGACGCCAUUUAAAAUAGCGCCACCUAAAAAUAGAAUUUUUUUUAAGUCCCCAAUUUUUCCAUAUUUUUUAGUAUUUUCUUAGUAUUUUAUACUGGUAGUGUCAUUCAAUAUGGCUCCACCAAAAAAUAUUUUUUAAUACCCCUGGCUGACGUGGCAAAGUGAUGGCGCCAUAUCAUAUGGCUCCACCACUUUUUACCGUAGAAAAUGGGUUAUUUUUGUACAUAAUUAAAAAAAUGGAUUAUUUUGAUAAUUAAUUUAUUUUUUAGUGUUACUUUUAUAAAAAAGCCCAUAAUUUUCUAUUUAUGACUUCAUCCUAUCACUACUAUUAGAGGUGUUCAUAAUUUUAUUGCUUUAUUUUUGUUUAAAUUUGGUCUUGUUUAAAAUACAAGUUUAGAAUUUUAUUUAAUUUAAUUUAAGCUCAUUUUUAUUAUUUUUAAAAAAAUAUUUUUAUUAUUUUUAUUUAACAUUUAAUUUUUUUAUAUAUUUUUUAUUUAUUAAAAUUUUUUAUAUAAUCAUAUUAACAUUAUUUUAAUAUUUACAUUAGAGUAGUAUUAUAUAUUCAGUAUAUAUUUAUUUUUUACUGUGCUGUAAAUUACAUAAUAUAUAAAAAUAGCAUAAUAUAAAAUAUUAUAAACUUAAAAACGAGAUGAAUUGGACUCGGACCUUAAUGUUCAAGCCUAGCCCAUUUUUUAAAUUGGCUUAAUUUUUUACCCAAAUUUAUUUUUCGAACCUAAUAUUUUUAUACAAACUAUCUCAAAUUUCGAACUAAAUUUCAACCGUAAAAAAAAUAACAGUUGAUCCUCCCUUUUAUUUUUUUACGGUUGAUAAAAACAAUUUAACCAAGAAAAUAUUAAAUGAGUUGUUGAUGGGGUUAUUAUUAUAUUACUUAAAAAUUUAGCACUUAAUUAUUAAAUUAAUACUAAAGUCAUUAAAUAGGGGUGAAACAUAAAAGUCUAGAAAUGUGGAGGUUGAAUAUUAGGCAUUCUAGAAGAUUAUUGACUUCCAAGUUCAAACAUGAUAAGGUCAGGAAAAACAAGACCUGUUUGUAGAAAAUAUAAAAAAUGUAAAGCGUAAAAGAUAGAAAUGGAGAAAAGUAGUGUGAAGGUCCCUUAUUCCACAAUUUUCAUUUCAAACAGGGCCCGCCCAACCCCUGACUUUCAUUUUGGUGCCCAUUGGCUAACAAGUUACCCACUAUCUUAAAUAGCUAUAUUGCUAAAUUUAGCACUUAAUAUUUAUCUUCUUUUAUCAAUUUCAUCCUUAUAUUUUUGUUAAAUUUGACUUUCGAUUUAUAUAAAUGGUCAACUUUGAUCAUUAAUUUUUUAUAAUAGAUUCAAAACUGUUUUUUUAAUGAAAAUAAUGACUUAAACGUUUAAUUUUUAAAAUUACAAUCAUGGGCAGGAGUCCUAGUAAGGGCUCUAAUCCCAUAAAUUUCAUAAAAUUUUAUUUAAACCCUUUUAAUUUUUAAAAUUUUAAUUUGAACUUAUAAUUCAUGUCGAAAAAUAGAUUGAAUUUGCGCUUGGCCCCUGAAGUAUUCCAAUGUUUUUUUUGACAUAAAGAUAAAUUUAGCCUCUAAUGUUUCCUUAUUUUGUCAUUUUGACUCCAAUUCUCUUUUUUGGGUCAUUUUGGCUCUCAACCUUUAAACUGACUAAAAUGUUAAAUUUUAAAUGGAAUUGACAUGGUAGCUCAUGUGACCUUUUACGUGUACUUCACUGCUAACAUGGAUAAAUUUUCUAAAAGUUUUUAUAAACUUUCUUUGAAAUUAGUUGAUUUUUUAAAUAUUUUUCAAUUCAACUUUAAUUUCUGUUUUUAUUUUAUUUUUCCAGAUCGAAAUUCUUAAUUCUAUUUUUUAUUUUUCAGGAACGCAAGUUUUCUUGGCCAAGAAAUUGUCCAAGAUUUCAAGAAACGAGCAUUCGUACAAUCCGGUCCCUGAGGAUUCUACCCUACUUCCCAUUUACUGUUAUUUUUACUAUUUUACAGAGAAGAGGAUAUUUUUGGUGCUCUCAACCACGCAUCACCAGAGAAGAUAAUCAGGAUGCUGAUAGAAUGGUUAAACUAGUGCAUUAUAAAUCUUAUGAUUUGUGCUUGUAUGAGACCUCCUCGUUGGGGGAGAUGAUUUAGGCUUUAUAAUUAGUUUAAGUACUCUUUUUGUCACUAAAAAUAUAUAGUUGAAGUACUAAAAUAAAAAAAAUGUAACACCUCAUACCCGUACCCGAGACCGGGAUAGGAUACGAGGCAUUACCGAGAUUUUCAGAAUAAUUUCAAUUAAUUUAUAUUAUUUUGCAUUCAUUUUCAUGUUCAUGUAACAUCUUUUUCAUAUAUUCAAUUCAAACAUCAUAUAAAAUACAAUAUAAUAUUUAAAUUGUCAUAUUUACAUGCUCAUUCAAGUUAUACGGACCUACCUGACUAAAUUGCAGAAAUACCAAGAUUUAGGGGUAUUUUGGUAAUUUACCUUUUUUUUCAAUUUUCACCCAAUCUUAAAUUGAUAAUUUCAUUCAAUUUAUUAAUUUAGAUAAUAAAACAACUCAUUCCCUUCAAUCUUGUCAUUUUUGACAUUUUUAUAAAAUUACCCCCUAAAGUUUUACUUUUAUUCAAUUUAGUACCUGAGCCUAAAACAUGCAAAUUAGCCAUGCUAGCUGAAUAUUCAUAUAUAUUUUUCUCCUCCUCCUUUCCACUUAAUGUAUAUAUCAUGCUUAUAAGUAACAUUAUCAAUAAUUUCACUACUGACUUAUUUAUAUAUUCAAAACUAUCCAUCCGUGUCAUAGUCACUAAAUCAUUUAUAUCUAGAGCUAUGGUACUUCAAAUUAAGAUCCGCUAAUUUUCUCUGAAACUAGACUCAUAUAUCUUCUUACCAUAAAUUUUUCAGAAUUUUUGGUUUAGCCAAUAAGUACAGUUUAUUCUUUAAAUUUACCCCUAUUCUGCUGUCUGACAGUUCCAACCCUUCUUCACUAAGAAUUAAUUAUCUCAUCGUACAGGAUUCGGAUGAUGUUCUCGCUUAUUUCUCUUGAAAUAAACUCAUUAAGUAUUUUAAAAAUAUAAAUUUAAUCCCUUAAUUAUUUUUCUCCAAUUUUUUAUGAUUUUUUAAAGUCAGAACAGGGAACCUGAAAUCAUUCUGACAUUGUCUCACUAAAUUUAUUAUAUCUCACAGUUCACAAUUCCAUUGCCUACACCGUUUCUUCUAUAAGAAACUAGACUCAAUAAGAUUUAAUUUCAUAUUUUUUUCAUACUCUAGUUCGAUUUUCAAAAUUUAUGGUGAUUUUUCAAAAUUAGCCUACUGCUGUUGUCCAAAACUAUUUUAGUGCAAGAUGUUUAUUUACCAUAAAAAAUGUAAGGGAUACCCAUGUUAGGGUAGUAAUUGGUUGGUCGUCUAACCGUGUUAGCAGUGUACUUGAUCUUAGGCACCUACUGGUCAUGCUCAAAAAACCAAUGAAAGAAGAAAGAGAUAAUGCUAGUAAAAGAUGUAUACAAUUAUUAAAUAUUAAAUAAUUAUAUUUAAAAAUAAAAACUAAUAUGUACGGCUUAAACAAGCAUAUGUAUCCAAACAGGAAGCUCUUCAUCUUAGUACUAGUUAAUACUCGAAACAAAGGGUUUAUAUUUGGGAAAGCAAGGGAACAAAUGGUUGGCGUGGUCGACACUUAGCCUGUAAAGGUUGAGCCUUGGGCAUGGUAAGGCCUGGCCCUUCGCUCAUAUCCACCAUCUCUUCACCUUUUCUCUCCCACUCAAAGCAUUGAAUCAGUGACCCCAAAGUUAAUCCAACCAUCCGCAUGGCUAACCCUUCUCCGGGACACCGCCGCCUCCCGUUCCCGAAUGGCAUUAACCUGAACGCGAAGUUCGACGGAUCUAAACCCUCGAAUCUCUCUGGCUUGAACACAUUAGGCUCCUCCCAAUUGUUGGGAUCGUUUUGUAUAGCCCAUGCAUUCACCAACAACAUGGUUCCACGCGGUAUACGGUACCCUCCCACUAAACAUUCUUUUGAUGACUCGUGAGGUACUAACAAUGGACCGGUGGGCUUGAUUCGAAAAGUCUCGUUAAUUAUACAAUGAAGAUAAAGAAGAUUGGGCAAAUCUGAUUCUUCGAUCAACCGAUUUUGUCCGACCACUGUAUCAAUUUCAAUUCGGGCUUUGUUCAAGACUUGGGGAUGGUUCAAAAGGAAAGACAUUGCCCACUCUAUUGUCCCUGAUGACGUAUCAGUUCCAGCCAAAAGUAAAACCUGUUUAACAUUUUCAAUAACCGAGUUAGGAUACUAUUUAAUAAGAGUAGACAUUAAGAACAAGAAAGCAAGAAAAGCAAAAGCUUACCAUCAUGAGACUUCUAAUAGUUUCAUCCUUGUAAUUUUCAGGCUCUUGUUCUUGCAAAGACAACAUGACUUCAAUCAUGUUCUUUUUUUCGUCUGUGGAUAAACUACUUUUCUUACCAAUUUUCAUAUUAUGUCGACAUUCAUCAAUCAAUUCUUGUGUAAAUGCCUCUCUUCUUUUGAACAAGUUGAUCAUCCUUUUCUCAGUUUUCUCGAACCACUUCAUCAUCGGCAGGAAAUCACCCAUGUUCGUUGCGCCGGCCAAAAGAAAGGAUUCCCUCAUU